UACGGGGGGGGCAAGCGUUGUUCGGAAUUACUGGGCGUAAAGGGCUCGUAGGCGGCCAACUAAGUCAUACGUGAAAUCCCUCGGCUUAACCGGGGAACUGCGUCUGAUACUGGAUGGCUUGAGAUUGGGAGAGGGAUGCGGAAUUCCAGGUGUAGCGGUGAAAUGCGUAGAUAUCUGGAGGAACACUGGUGGCGAAGGCGGCAUCCUGGACCAACACUGACGCUGAGGAGCGAAAGCGUGGGGAGCGAACAGG
rnacentral:rRNA from 1 species